ensembl:lncRNA
GGCCACCUCCAUGCCAUGCCAGACUUUCUACACACAGAACUGUGAAUUGCUAAACGGGGAUUGCUUUCCUCUGCUGAGCUUAUGGUAAUCUGUUACAGAGAUAAAAAACUAAUACAAUUGCUAAAGGUACAUUUUAGAAAAUAAAUCACUAGUAGAACUAUUUAAGAUGUGAUUAAUUCAUUGGAAAAAAACCUUUCUUCACAAGGAUACUUUCCUUCAUCUUCAUCAUCUAUCAGAAGUUAAUAUUUCCUAUUUUGGCAUUUCUUAAAGCAAGCUAUGUCUUACCUAUGUGGUUGCUAAGUGCGAAUCAUAAGAGCUAAGUUUUAUUAUGAAACUUAGUCAGAAUCAACUAGCAAAGAAAACAAUUCUAAAAAUGAUUUCAGUAAAUAUGUUACAAAUUAAUUAAUAUGAAACCAUCUGUGAAUAAAUUAGUCUACCCCUCAGUAGUUUCUGAUAGAUCUCAUUAUUCAAAAUAUCUCCCAUUUUUCUUACUUGCUAAUGAAGUUUAUGCCACUUAAACUUUAAAAAGUAAUUAUUAAAUCAUAUUAUCAACAAUAUCUACUUUUCUACAUAUAAUCCAUAUAUAUAUUUAAACAUUUUUAAAGCCUCUGCAGAACUCGAAGGAAAAAAGCUAUAUUAAAAUAUAACAUCAUAGUUUUUAAAUGUAAAGAAAUUCUAAUUUGUAUUUUGAGAAUUUUAAUCAGAAUACAGGCUUUUCAAAAUUCAAAACAUUUCAACUUUAAAAUGUUGAUUUUCGGCCACGGGCGGCAGCAAAAACAAAAGUAUUCAACUGUGACCUAGCGCUUCAGGGACAGGCAACUGCUGUUGCCAAGAGACUGAAACAUCAGAGGCAGAAUCUGGAUUCUGGAAUCGUGACUCAGUAAGAUUUCUGGCACUUGCUGGAUGUUAAAGGAAUUUAAUUGCCAGGGAAAACACAAACUUGACCAAGAAGGUCCUGUGAUGGCUCAACUCCUAAAGCAAUUCCCAGUCUUUAUAAACUUGCCAGGAAAGUAUUCAGCUAAAGCAGUAAAGCCCUAAUGAAAUUAGGCAGACUAUUGACUACACCUGACAGAAUUUCACUUAAGCAAUAAAAAGGUAUUUGGGGGCCACGUCAGCUACAAAGUCCAGAAGUUACACUGCCCCGAGGCACAGCUAGAUGAAGUGCACAAAUACUGUGUCCCUCAAACUCUCCUCAUGGAGCAGGCAUGAGCAUCCCCAGCACCCCAAGACUGGCAAAGUACCAGUCUGACAGCUCCUAUUGUAUGAGAACAUCUGCAAAUCCCCUGAAGAGGUUCUGAGAAGGAGUCUUGACAGCCCUGGUUUGGGGGCAUAUGC